rnacentral:rRNA from 1 species
AUGCAUAAGAAGAAGGGGGGACGACAAGGACUGGUGGCAGUGAAGCUCGAUAUGAGUAAGGCGUAUGACCGGGUGGAGUGGGCAUUUUUGGAACGAAUGAUGCUAACUAUGGGCUUUACUCCCACCUGGGUUGAGCUUGUGAUGCAAUGCGUGAGAUCAGUGUCCUAUCGUGUGAGAGUUAAUGGCAAACUAAUGGAAGCUUUCCUCCCGCAGCGAGGUCUCCGUCAAGGAGAUCCUUUGUCGCCGUAUCUGUUUAUCAUAUGUGCCGAGGCGUUCUCGGUUUUGUUACAGCAAGCAAAACAGGAUGGUGCGAUUGAGGGAGUCAAGAUCUGCCCCGGGGCCCCUAGCAUCAACCACUUGUUUUUUGCGGAUGACUCGCUCAUUGUUAUGAAAGCGACCGAGGCUAGUGCUGCCCGACUGCAGGAGAUUCUUGAUUUGUACGAAGCACAGUCGGGGCAAAAGAUCAAUAGGGACAAGUCGUCGGCUUUCUUCAGCAAGAACACUAACGCCCAAAAUAAACGACGAGUUCUUCAGGUCUUGGGUCUCCAAAGAGAAUCAAAGAAUGAACGAUACCUUGGCUUGCCUGUGCAUCUCGGGGCUGCAAAGUCAAAAGAGUUUGAGUAUAUAAAGGAGAUGAUAUGGAAAAGAAUACAGGGCUGGUUGGAGAAACUUCUGUCAAAGGUGGGAAAGGAAACUCUCAUUAAGGCCGUCGCCCAGGCCAUCCCAACCUAUGCCAUGUCCUGUUUUGAUUUAACUAAGAGUUUGUGUGAGGAGAUUAGUGCCAUGGUGUGUCGGUACUGGUGGAACCAGCAGGAUGGGACGCACAAAUGCCACUGGCUUGGAUGGGAGAAACUCAUGAAGACGAAGCAGCAGGGGGGGCUGGGGUUCAGGGAUCUCCAUAUUUUCAACCAGGUAAUGCUUGCGAAGCAAAGCUGGCGGCUGCUCCAACACCCGGAGUCUUUGUGCGCAUCUGUACUCAAGGGAUCUCCAUGGUGUGCCGGUACUGGUGGAACAAUGCAUGGGUAUAUGUACUAG